UGUUCAAUACUGGCUGAAGUCGCGAGGUUAUUGUUUACACUCUCGCAAUUCAAUGGGACAGCAUCCGAAGCCCUAUCUACGUUAGUUGUAAAUUUAUUAUAAUAACUUACUCUUUGAAAAGGCUGUAUUUACACAGUUUUGAUCAAGAUGAGCAAGGGAUGCCAAUUCUGCUGUUGGCAAGGUACUGAGCCAGUCACCAAACACCACAAGUCCCUUCUAUAGGGUUAACCUUUGAGCCAUUACCGAUAGAUAAAACCGCCCCCCACAAGACAACUUGCCGUAUUUUGAAAAUUUCAACUACAACUUUUAAUAAUUUGAGCUGAUUAAGAAGAGAAAUUAAUUUUACAGUAUACUCAAGUUCACAGGCAAACUUGUAGAAUCAAGUUGAGUAACAUCGUUACCCAAAUUUAUGACAUGGCAAAUUCACAGACAUAUAAAUCCAGAAAAGAAUAAAGAAAACAGAAACUGCUAACGACUAUGUUCAUUGUAACUAAAUAUUAAAUCAUGAGGGAAAAAAGUAUAUGGUCCUCAUAAAAAUAAUUUAUGAAGAGAUUAAAAUCGCGUUGCUUGAGUUCGUAUUCUCGCAUACGAUCUUGCUGAACGAUGGACACUCCGAGUCUUACUGUAACUUCUUAUGACUAAUGAGCUUUUUUUUUAAAUUUGAUCUUUGUUUAGCUAUACAUGAAACCGCUUUCUCAGAUAAGAAGAGGUCUCAAAUUUUCAACAUUCGACGUGAUUAAACGAAUUUAUAUAAAUCAAAUGAAGUUAAAAAAAAAGAAAGGAUUUCAUAAAAAUUCGUAGCUCACCUUACACACAUUUGAACAAAUACAAGCUGGGAACUUUUACUGAAGUCAAUAACUUAUUUUGCUAAACGAAGCUUAUGUUGUAAUUAACGAAUGCUUAAUUACAAGCUGCACAUAACAACGAUUCGCAGUAUACUGAAUAGUGAGAAUCCGUAUACAGAAC